AUUUCUGAAAGAAAAGAAAAAAAAAGAAUAUUUUGAAAUGAGUUUUCCAAGGAGAAAAAUAUUUUCUUAGAUUAAAUGUAAUUUUUUAUAUUUAUCUAUCCAUUACCAUCAAUUAUUGAUUUAAACAGAAAAGUGCAUAUCAAUUAUCGAGUAAUAUUCACCAAAAUUCCUUUAUAAAAAAUAAAAUACCGAAUCCAUUUGAGAUGGUAUUAUAAAAGUUCCUAUGAUUUUAUCCUCGGUGAAUCAUCAAUGUAACGAGAAGAAGACUCACACUUUUAUGGUGACGACAUCAAAACUAUUACUACGAUAUAUAUAGCCCAACAAGCGAGAGUACCGUAAUCAGUAUCCGCACUAGGAGUAUAAUCCAGUAAACUAACGAGGCCAUUAUCCCGAACUCUUGAAUUUGGUAACGGUAGGACGUCGCCUCGCGUUCCAUUGAAGCUCCAGGAAAAUCGAAUCAACUCGUCUGGAACUGCUUCGAUUUCGCAUCUCAAGGUUACUGUUUCGUGUCGAACAGCCGCUAUUUCUCGCCUCUCAUAACCCUCUCUACAUCUUGGAGCAUCUGCAUGUCAUUGAAUAAUACAAUUUUCAUUUCCUUUUUUUCAACGAUCUUUACUUUCUUUUUAUAUAUUUUAUUUAUUCUAUAACUAUACUUACACUUCAUGUGAAUAAGAAGAGGCAAACUACGUCCUUGUCCAACAAAGUUUGUAGCUUCGCAAGAGUAUUCACCAGAGUGGUCGAGAGUGAGAACACGAAGAGUGAGCGUAUUGGAGGAUAUCAAAAUACCGGCGCUCACGUCAUGUUCUAAUCGUAUAUCCUGAAUUAAAGAAUUCUUUAUUAUCUUUUAUUUCUAGUUUAUAUAUAUAUAUACUUUUUUUUUUUUAAUUUUCUAUUAUCUCUAGCGAUAUGUUUCCAAGGAAGCAUACUUACGUCGUGAUACCAAGUGACCUUUGUCGGCGGUGGAUUGCUCUGAACGUCGCAGACCAAUUUCAGAUCAUCCCCUUCUCUCAAUGUAUUUAGAAUAUAUCCUGUUGCCAGGUGAGCCGUUAGGACCGGUGCAUCUGUCAAUUGAUAUUAUUAAAGAAACUGAAAUAUCUAGCAAAACAUAGAAUUUCGAAAAGUAUUAGAAAACUUACAAAGAACGCGAAGAGAUUUUGUUUCUUCGAGAACGCCACCAGGAAAUCUAGGAUUUUCAGCUUUGCAAGCAAGUUCUUUGCCAUCGUCAUUUUUUCCGAGAGCAAGAACGAUCUUACUAACGGUGGAAUUACUUCUCUGUGUAAUGGAAACAAUAGGAUCACCGAUCACUUCGUCGCCUAAUCUCCAAAUAAUUCUGGCAGCUGGAGAACUACCCCAAGUUUCGCAUUUUGCAGCGAUCGGACGACCGGCGUACAUUUCUUCGUCGCUCAAAAUGAUUUUCACCACGGCCGGUUUAACUGAAAUAACAAUGAAGAAAUUGAUGAACGGUGUUUACAAUGGCUCGUGCAACUUGACUUUUGACGUUCAGCAAACACAAUAUAUAUUUGUGAUAUCUACUUGGGUGGUUUGCGAUCAUGAUAUGGCGUUCUGUUUUUAAUACAUAUCUAUUUACUGAUAUAGUUAUAUAUCUAUAUCACUCGUCGUACAGUUUCCCAGAUGACGGAUGAUCCUUGCAGGGGUGAUACUGAUGUCUUUUUUUCUACAAUUGCUGAAAAUAAAUCGUGCAAAUUCUUUCGCUACGAACCUGGAACCUCUUAGGUAUUCAACCUCGUAUGGAAUCCGAGACAACGUAGUGGAAAAUACUUAGAGAAGCGGAUAUUUAUCGAUUCACUAAAAUUCUUUCGACAUUUUAUCGAAAUGGAACAUCUUUCUCGUAACGAUUAUUUCAAUGUCCAAAAUUGUUCUACAAUAUGAUAUCGAAGAAUACGAGAAAAAUAAUUCAAGUAUACUAUAAUAAGGACAUUCUAUGUGUCUGGUAUAGUUGAAAUUUAUUUUAUUAAUUUUUUUCUAACCUUUUAUCUAUUUGACGCAACGGGCAAGAUAUUACAUUCUUUUCUUUUACUUUAUAACGAUGAAAGAUUUCAUUCAAAAGUUAUAAAACGAAAUAAGCGGAUGGCGAGAAAUUCCUAGCAGAAUUCUUUUAAGAAACAGGAUGCCGUGCCGUUGGCGCCAGAGAUUAAUAAUGUAAUUACAGUCUCAACGAACGGACGACGUCGCGAAGCUUGCCAAAUCAAAUCGCCACCCGUCCUGUCCUAUUCCAUCGCGUGUCAAUUUUAUACAACUUUCGUCUGAUGCGUCAUGUUAAACGCAUGACUUCUUUUGGUCAAAACAAUCCAUUUUUUUUCUUUCCUUACAUUUUCUUAAAUAGUUUCAAGAAUAUUCAAUUAAAGUUACAGAUCAAAAUUUUGAAAAAUGACGAAGUAAUAACGAUAAUAGCAAUGGGAUAAUUGGCGAUCUGAAUUAAUGCUUUCAAAUCGAACAACUAUUUCAUCCCUUAACUUUUCUUUACCGUUUUAAAUCUUUUUAUUUUAUUUCAAGCUCUAGAUUGCCGUACAAAUUUACGUAGGUAUCACGUCAAAUCAUACUUUGACAAAUAUUUACGCCAAUGGCUGAGAAUCAGCCAUUUAUCAUUAUUCUUAAAUGAAAAAAUUUACAUUUUAAUCUUCG